AAUAUUCACAUAAAAUAAAAGAUUAAGUAUCUAUGUAUAGUCAGCAAUGAUAGAUGUUGAACCGAUUCUUUCUUUCGAUUAAUUUUUUGUUUCAGCUUCCCAGCUAUCCAAGUUCUUGCAGAAUAUUAAUAGUUGGAGGCCACUUUCCUAUAAAUUAAGAUUACCAAAGUCUGAGGUUACUGUGUCCUUGAAUGUGUCCCAGUAAGCAAAAGUUAAAUCACAUUCUAACGUCAAAUAUCAGAGUAAGAUGUGUUACUAGCAGUGUGAUGACAAAUUAAUGCAUCAAACUAAGAAUAGGAAACAGGGUGUUUUGCCUAUGUUUGCCUCUGCAAAUAAAGUUAUUGUGAUUUACGGUCAAGAAUGAUGAACUUUUUCCCAAAAAUUGAGGAUCGGUCCUUAAAGAAGACAACUACAGUAAAAUGAAAAAUAAAAAUCAUAUAAAUGGAAGAUGCAAGAAUCACAAGAAGUCAAGGAUCACAAAGACAAUAGAAAGUAAGAACAUGGAGGAAUUAAAAUCGGAUCUUGCCCAAAAUGUUGGAUUCUUCAUCAU